rnacentral:lncRNA from 1 species
AGUGAGCAAGUGAUGGAAUGCUACAUUUCUCCAGAUCUCUUCAGAUGAAGAAACAAAGUCUUAGAUGGCCUGAGGGAGAUCAGGUAAUGACAGCAGUGGGAUCCUGAAUGGAGACUGAGAGCCUAAAAUCAGGGCAUGUACCAACACGCCCCAAUUUUGGUAAAGAAGAUGCCCAAUCAUGCUGCACUCCUCCUGUGAGAUGCUGAAAAACAAUUCUAGAGAGAAUCCCGGGACCCAGAGGAGAUGAUGUUUUCCUCUACAACAAGCACUAAACACAGAACACUAGGGUCUUUGAUGUGGUCAACACCAGCACAUCAACCUCAUUUUAACACAUCUGUUACCCACAACAGCCAUGGAAAAGGCUUUCUGAACUCAUCAGGAUGUCAAGGCAAGCAUCACUGUUAUUAUUGUACAUACUCAGGGUUAGGAUUUAAGCAUAUGUCUAAUUGGUGUGUAGCUCGACCCAUAGUGUUUGUGCCACAUUGACAAACCACUACCAAUGAGAUUUGUAUUGGCACCACUCAAUCCUAAAAAAAAAAGUAAAUAUGUAGUUUCUUCAAGACCCGGUGAUAAUAAAACUGGAGUUUUGUAGCUGCUAAUUAAUGUCUAUUAUAGCUUAUUAUAAUUAAUACUGUUCAAAAGCUUUGGGUCAAAGAAGAAAGUCUUUGAUCAAACAUACAGUAACAACAGUAAAAUUGCAAAAUAUUAUUACAAUUUAAAAUAACUGUUUUCUAUUUGAAUAUAUUUUCU